CAAUAGCGUAUAUUAAAGUUGUUGCAGUUAAAAAGCUCGUAGUUGGAUUUCUGGUAGGAGUGACCGUUCCGAACUUGAUUGUUCGUGUAUUGUGUUUUCUCCAGCCAUCCUUGUGGAGAACUUUUCUUGCAUUAAUUUGUAGGGAUUGGGACCCGCAUCGUUUACUGUGAAAAAAUUAGAGUGUUUAAAGCAGGCAAUCGCUUGAAUACAUUAGCAUGGAAUAAUAAGAUAGGACUUUGGUACUAUUUUGUUGGUUUGCAUACCAAAUUAAUGAUCAACAGGAACAGUUUGAGGAUAUUCGUAUGAACAUGUCAGGGGUGAAAUUCUUGGAUUUUGAUCAGACGAACUACUGCGAAAGCAUUUAUCAAGGAUGUUUUCAUUAA
rnacentral:rRNA from 1 species